CCGACCGAGAUCUUUACUUGCCUC
rnacentral:siRNA from 1 species